rnacentral:rRNA from 1 species
UACAGAGGUCUCAAGCGUUGUUCGGAUUCAUUGGGCGUAAAGGGUGUGUAGGUGGCGCGCUAAGUCGGGUGUGAAAUUUCGGAGCUUAACUCCGAAACUGCAUUCGAUACUGGCGUGCUUGAGGACUGGAGAGGAGACUGGAAUUCAUGGUGUAGCGGUGAAAUGCGCAGAUAUCAGAAGGAACACCGGUGGCGAAGGCGGGUCUCUGGGCCGAUACUGACGCUGAGGAGCGAAAGCGUGGGGAGCGAACAGG